AGCAGUCGCCGCGGGAAUACAGAGGGUGCGAGCGUUAAUCGGAUUUACUGGGCGUAAAGCGUGCGUAGGCGGCUUCUUAAGUCGGAUGUGAAAUCCCUGAGCUUAACUUAGGAAUUGCAUUCGAUACUGGGAAGCUAGAGUAUGGGAGAGGAUGGUAGAAUUCCAGGUGUAGCGGUGAAAUGCGUAGAGAUCUGGAGGAAUACCGAUGGCGAAGGCAGCCAUCUGGCCUAAUACUGACGCUGAGGUACGAAAGCAUGGGGAGCAAACAGGAUUAGAUACCCCCGUAGUCCCUGUCUCUUAUAA
rnacentral:rRNA from 1 species